CACGUAGGGCGCAAGCGUUGUCCGGAAUUAUUGGGCGUAAAGAGCUCGUAGGCGGUUUGUCGCGUCUGCUGUGAAAACGCGAGGCUUAACCUCGCGCCUGCAGUGGGUACGGGCAGACUAGAGUGCGGUAGGGGAGACUGGAAUUCCUGGUGUAGCGGUGGAAUGCGCAGAUAUCAGGAGGAACACCGGUGGCGAAGGCGGGUCUCUGGGCCGUUACUGACGCUGAGGAGCGAAAGCAUGGGGAGCGAACAGG
rnacentral:rRNA from 1 species